AAGUCGUAACAAGGUUUCCGGAGGUGAACCUGCGGAAGGAUCAUUAACACGUAUCCAAACGUUAACCCCCCUGUGAACCUUUAGUGUGUUCGCACCUUUGUCAGAGCGUGGCAAUCCCUAGUAAAUCAUCACAGUUUUCGAUUACAAAGAGUGUGCUCGUAGCGCGAGGCAAGUGGCCUGGCAUUCCCAAGCACUGGCUGUCAGGAUGGCGCAGUCACGAUCGUUGGAGGCCGACACGGCCGACAUGUCAGACGCGCCUGCGCUUAAUUGUGCGGCGACCAUAAUAACAAUGGAUAUCUUGGUUCUC
rnacentral:misc_RNA from 1 species